ensembl:processed_transcript
UUGAGUCAAUGAAACAGUUCACCCAAAUCCACUCUUUGGAUCUGUCCUAUGAUGAAGACAAUAAUUGCAGAUCCAUUUAUGUGACUUUUGAGCAUUCAGGACGGGAACAGGAACCUCAUCCUGUGCUCCCCACAUACCACUAUAUUGAGCGGAAGACACUACUUGUGAGCAAUCUGCACCCAAUGGUCACCGAACAACAGCUUAUUGAAAAGUUUGGUCCAUUGGGGUCCAUCUCGACUGUGCAAGUGUGCAGAAACAACAUCGUCUCUCCUGUGUAUGCCUUUGUGACUUUCCAUCAUCGACUCGAUGCAGUGCGAGCACAAAAAGCUCUGAACUUCACUCAUUUACUGAAUAAACCUCUGAUCAUCAUGUGGGGCCCAGACAAGACAACUGAGGUCCUCUCAGAUUAUGACAGCAGCUCUCAAAGACAAACAGAGGAGAGAGAGGCAGCUGGAGAAACAGAGGAGAAAAAGACCAGUGGAGAAACAGAGGAGAGAGAGGCAGCUGGAGAAACAGAGGAGAAAAAGACCAGUGGAGAAACAGAGAGAGAAGCAGCUGGAGAAACAGAGGAGAGAGCGAACAGCGAGUCUUCAUGGAGAAGAAGGAUCUCCAACAAUGUGAAAAGUGCUGUGAAAGCCACGGUAAGCAGUCCAGCAACCUGGGUCGGAGUCGGCAUAGGUGUCUGUGCUGCUUAUGCCUACUUCAGGAGCAGGAGCUAGUGUGGACUCAUUCUAAAAGACGAGAAGGCCUGCCUCACAAUCUCCACUCAUCAUCCCCAGAGUGACCAAUCACUGCUCCAGAAAGAACUUGAUUUCCCCAGCAGGCCAAACACUUGCAAUAAAUGUGAAUUGAAUAAA